GACGAACGCUGGCGGCGUGCUUAACACAUGCAAGUCGAACGGAAAGGCCCUGCUUUUGUGGGGUGCUCGAGUGGCGAACGGGUGAGUAACACGUGAGUAACCUGCCCUUGACUUUGGGAUAACUUCAGGAAACUGGGGCUAAUACCGGAUAGGAGCUCCUGCUGCAUGGUGGGGGGUGGAAAGUUUCGGCGGUUGGGGAUGGACUCGCGGCUUAUCAGCUUGUUGGUGGGGUAGUGGCUUACCAAGGCUUUGACGGGUAGCCGGCCUGAGAGGGUGACCGGCCACAUGGGGACUGAGAUACGGCCCAGACUCCUACGGGAGGCAGCAGUGGGGAAUAUUGCACAAUGGGCGGAAGCCUGAUGCAGCAACGCCGCGUGCGGGAUGACGGCCUUCGGGUUGUAAACCGCUUUCGCCUGUGACGAAGCGUGAGUGACGGUAAUGGGUAAAGAAGCACCGGCUAACUACGUG
rnacentral:rRNA from 1 species